UUUUUUUUUUUUUUUUUCAUUGAGUUUGUUGUUCAGAACUAUUGACUGUAGUCCCAGAAAACAAGUUCAAAUUUCCAAUGACCAAUGACCAAGAAAUACCUCAACAAGGCAUGAUGUCCAUUUUAUGUUCCACAAAUGGAAAAUUGGCAUGAAUUUUGUCAAAGAAGAAGUACUAUACAGGAAAAACCAAUCACCCAUCAAGUCAUAAUCAACCAAACAUGUUCAAAACUUUUAUGAAAAAUGUCAUAACUCUAUCUACAUUAACCAACGUGGCACCUGCAAAUACCAACUAAUUUUUUUGAAGUGCCAAGGGAAACUUUAAUAAAUCCACGAGCCAAGACAAUGACACUUGGAAGAAGACAAAAAUGGUACUGCCGAGAAAUAGCUUUCAACUCUGGUCAACUACAACAUCAAUACAUUACUAUUUGUCUAGUCCCUGAAAGUAGUGGAUCAAUGUGCCACUAGUAUUAAAGAUUUCAAAACAAUUGCACAAAGCAAAUGGGAUCAAAGUUUGUAUAGAUUCGUCCUGAUAAUUUCUAACAAUCUCUCAAGGGGUUUUCAAAUCCCCACAAACAAGUUUGAAUAGAGG
rnacentral:lncRNA from 1 species